rnacentral:rRNA from 1 species
CAAUAAGCUAAUUAAGGGUGUAUGGCGGAUGCCUAGGCUCUCAGAGGCGAUGAAGGACGUGAUAAGCUGCGAUAAGCUUCGGGGAUUUGCACAUAAGAUUUGAUCCGAAGAUUUCCGAAUGGGGCAACCCACUAUAUUGAAGAUAUAGUACCGAAAGGGGCAAACCCGGUGAACUGAAACAUCUAAGUAACCGGAGGAAGAGAAAAUAAUAAUGAUUUCGUUAGUAGUGGCGAGCGAACGCGAAAGAGCCCAAACCGAUUUUGUUACGGCAAAGUCGGGGUUGUAGGACUGAGAUAUCGAGAAUUGAUUGAAUUAGAAUAACCUGGAAAGGUUGACCAAAGAGGGUGAUAGUCCCGUAUAAGUAAGAGAUAUGAUUGUAUCAGUAUCCUGAGUAGGGCGGGGCACGAGGAACCCUGUCUGAAUCUGCCGGGACCAUCCGGUAAGGCUAAAUACUCCUGAGAGACCGAUAGUGAACUAGUACCGUGAGGGAAAGGUGAAAAGAACCCUAAGUAAGGGAGUGAAAUAGAUCCUGAAACCGUACACCUACAAGCGGUCGGAGCCCAUUAACUGGGUGACGGCGUGCCUUUUGCAUAAUGAGCCUACGAGUUACUUUAUCUAGCAAGGUUAAAUUCUUAAGGAAUGGAGCCGUAGCGAAAGCGAGUCUGAAUAGGGCGUUUUAGUUAGGUUGAGUAGACGCGAAACCUGGUGAUCUACCCAUGGGCAGGUUGAAGCUGUGGUAACACACAGUGGAGGACCGAACCCGUUGACGUUGAAAAGUCUUGGGAUGACCUGUGGGUAGGGGUGAAAGGCCAAUCAAACCAGGAAAUAGCUCGUACUCCCCGAAAUGCAUUUAGGUGCAGCGUUGUAUUAGUUAUAUAGAGGUAGAGCUACUGAUUGGAUGCGGGGGCUUCAUCGCCUACCAAUUCCUGACAAACUCCGAAUGCUAUAUAAUGAUUUACAGCAGUGAGGGCAUGGGUGCUAAGGUCCAUGUCCGAGAGGGAAAGAACCCAGACCAUCAGCUAAGGUCCCCAAAUAUAUGUUAAGUUGAAUAAACGAGGUUUGUUUGCUUAGACAGCUAGGAUGUUGGCUUGGAAGCAGCCAUUCAUUUAAAGAGUGCGUAACAGCUCACUAGUCGAGCGAACGAGCAUGGAUAAUAAUCGGGCAUAAACAUAUUACCGAAGCUAUGGAUUUUUAGUUUUACUAAAAGUGGUAGGGGAGCAUUCUAGUUGUGCUGAAGGUGAAUCGUAAGGUUUGCUGGAACGGCUAGAAAAGAAAAUGUAGGCAUAAGUAACGAUAAGGCGGGUGAGAAACCCGCCCUCCGAAAGACUAAGGUUUCCUCAGCGAUGCUAAUCAGCUGAGGGUUAGUCAGGGCCUAAGGCGUACCCGAAAGGGGAAGUCGAUGGACAACAGGUUAAUAUUCCUGUACACGCACCCAUUAAAAGUGACGGAUUGCCCAGAUCUUUACGUACUGACGGAAUAGUACGUUGAGCCUAAACUUCGGUUGAAGCGAAAAGAAGUAAGCGGUUCCAAGAAAAGCGAGGGCUGCGUCCUGUACCGUAAACCGACACAGGUAGUUGGGAUGAGUAUUCUAAGGAGCUCGAGUGAUUCAUGGCUAAGGAACUAGGCAAAAUAGACCCGUAACUUCGGGAGAAGGGUCGCCCCACUUCGGUGGGGCCGCAGUGAAAAGGUCCAGGCGACUGUUUAUCAAAAACACAGGGCUCUGCUAAAACGAAAGUUGAUGUAUAGGGCCUGACACCUGCCCGGUGCUGGAAGGUUAAGUGGAGGGUUUAGACGCAAGUCGAAGAUCUGAAAUGAAGCCCCAGUAAACGGCGGCCGUAACUAUAACGGUCCUAAGGUAGCGAAAUUCCUUGUCGGGUAAGUUCCGACCUGCACGAAUGGUGCAACGAUCUGGACACUGUCUCAGCCAUGAGCUCGGUGAAAUUGUAGUAUCGGUGAAGAUGCCGAUUACCCGCUACGGGACGAAAAGACCCCGUGAACCUUUACUAUAGCUUAGUAUUGGCUUUGGAUAAGUAAUGUGUAGGAUAGGUCGGAGACUUUGAAGCAGCAUCGCUAGGUGUUGUGGAGUCAUUGUUGAAAUACGACCCUUUGCUUAUCUAGAGUCUAACCCAGUGAUGGGGACAGUGCUUGGUGGGUAGUUUGACUGGGGUGGUCGCCUCCAAAAGAGUAACGGAGGCUUCUAAAGGUACCCUCAGUACGCUUGGUAACCGUACGUAGAGUGCAAUGGCAUAAGGGUGCUUGACUGCGAGACCUACAAGUCGAUCAGGUUGGAAACAAGAGCAUAGUGAUCCGGUGGUUCCGCAUGGAAGGGCCAUCGCUCAAAGGAUAAAAGGUACUCCGGGGAUAACAGGCUGAUCUCCCCCAAGAGCUCACAUCGACGGGGGGGUUUGGCACCUCGAUGUCGGCUCGUCACAUCCUGGGGCUGGAGAAGGUCCCAAGGGUUGGGCUGUUCGCCCAUUAAAGUGGCACGCGAGCUGGGUUCAGAACGUCGUGAGACAGUUCGGUCUCUAUCUGUAGCGGGCGUUAGAAAUUUGCGUGGAUUUGACUCUAGUACGAGAGGACCGAGUUGAACUAACCUCUGGUGUAUCUGUUGUUCCGCCAGGAGCAUUGCAGAGUAGCUACGUUGGGAAGGGAUAAGCGCUGAAAGCAUAUAAGCGCGAAACCCACCACAAGAUGAGAUUUCUUUAAAGGGUGGUUGUAGACUACGACCUUGAUAGGAUAUAGGUGUAAAGGCAGUAAUGUCAUAGCCGAGUAUUACUAAUAACCCAUAGGCUUAUGUAC